GCGGCGAGCCAGAUCAGGGUAUUACCGGAAAGUCCGACUGUCAUUAUCCCCAGACAGAAAUGACAAGAUUGAAGAACAAGAGCAGGCCACUGAUGCUGAGGAGCUUGAGAAUGCUUUGGAUGAAGCAUUGGUCCUGGCUGCAGAUAAUCUUGCCCAACUGGAACACAUUUAUGAGACUCUGACAGCUGGACUGGAAGAACAGAUCAAAUGUGAGAAUGAUCGGUUGGAGUUGGAGAUCAAGCAAAAGGCAGAU